rnacentral:lncRNA from 1 species
AAAGGAAUAGAACUUCAACUCCCCCAAAUUUUAGCUCCCAAACAGAGCUUUGGUUCCCAAAUUUCUCGCACCCAACUUCAAAAUCUACCCCGAUUCUCACAUGCACAUCUAGAAACAGCCUUUUUGUGAACCCGAAACUCUAAACACAGCCCCACUUGCCUGGAUCUUUCACCGGUGGGGAAGGGAGGAGGCGUCGGGCGAGCUAGAGUUCCACGGCCGGCAGUGGAGCUCCGAACAGAAGAUUUCGCUGCUGGAUGGAGGCACCGGUCGUGAGAGGCCGAGAUGAGGUCGGGUUUUUGGUGGAACGAAGCAAGAACAGGGGAGAAAAGAAGUGGGUGUUUCGGUAGAGAA